rnacentral:rRNA from 1 species
GACGAACGCUGGCGGCGUGCCUAAUACAUGCAAGUAGAACGCUGAAGAGAGGAGCUUACUCUUCUUGGAUGAGUUGCGAACGGGUGAGUAACGCGUAGGUAACCUGCCUUGUAGCGGGGGAUAACUAUUGGAAACGAUAGCUAAUACCGCAUAACAAUGGAUGACACAUGUCAUUUAUUUGAAAGGGGCAAUUGCUCCACUACAAGAUGGACCUGCGUUGUAUUAGCUAGUAGGUGAGGUAAUGGCUCACCUAGGCGACGAUACAUAGCCGACCUGAGAGGGUGAUCGGCCACACUGGGACUGAGACACGGCCCAGACUCCUACGGGAGGCAGCAGUAGGGAAUCUUCGGCAAUGGGGGCAACCCUGACCGAGCAACGCCGCGUGAGUGAAGAAGGUUUUCGGAUCGUAUAGCACUGUUGUAAGUCAAGAACGGGUGUGAGAGUGGAAAGUUCACACUGUGACGGUAGCUUACCAGAAAGGGACGGCUAACUACGUU